rnacentral:rRNA from 1 species
GAUCCUGGCUCAGGACGAACGCUGGCGGCGCGCCUAACACAUGCAAGUCGAACGGGGUUUACAGGCAGAAGUUUUCGGAUGGAAGCUUGUAGACUUAGUGGCGGACGGGUGAGUAACACGUGAGCAACCUGCCUAUCAGAGGGGGAUAACGAUUGGAAACGAUCGCUAAUACCGCAUGACAUAGCGAAACCGCAUGGUUUUGCUAUCAAAGAUUUAUCGCUGAUAGAUGGGCUCGCG